AUCAUCCACCUGGGUAAAGUGUGUCCUUCCUCCAUCUUCUGUGGCAGGGGGACUUUAAAGUUCCUGUUUGAAGCUCCUCUGUCAGUAUUGGCAUGGCUAGAUCCUCCAGAUGAGUCACAGCUGGGUCGCCUUUUAACAGCCAUUUCUUCUAAAAGGCAGAAAUUAUGAGUUCAGCAACAUUUGGCUAAGCUGAUAAAAUUCACGGGCAUAAAUGACAGUCCAAAAUGAUCCUUCAAAGCAGCAGCUGAGCUAUAAUUUAGGAUAUAAAGCCUGGUGGCUUGGCUGAAUGAGAUUUCUGACUGUUGUGGCUUUGGCCUGCUCUUCCAGCCACAAGCCAGAUCUGCUGCUUAAGCUGGGACACUGAGCUUUAAGGAAGAGGAACACUUCAGCAUCAUCAGCAUACACGUUGGCAGUAAGGGAGCUUCCAACAGGAAGAAUGAGAACUUCCAUGUGUCCCUUCAGAAAAUAGAAAGUAGAAUUAAAUGACAUGAAGCCACUCCUAUAAGUCAGGCUUCAGAGAGACAGAAGCCUUUCUAAGAACAGCUGUGCCUUCAUUGCAGAAACAUCUAUCAAAUAGCAUCAUGGACUCAGCCUUUUUCUUUUUGAUUUAAUAGGAAUGAAAUCACUGCAAUACUAGACUGUCACUAGUUCAUCAGCUAUCCUGGACUCUGAAUAAGUGUUCAUCUUACUGUCUGAUGAAGUGUUUCUGUCUGAUGAAAAAUAACAAUAGAAGGCCACCGUUUUGAGACAAUGUUUUGUUGCACUUAAUCUGUCUCAUCAACAUUCAGAUUCAAAGGCCAAGAAGACUUAGUCAUCUGAUAAAACUGCGUAGGUACUUUGUGAAUAAAAGAGUAUCUAUACGGGUUUAAAUAUGUAUUGCAUCUGGGCCAAAAAGUGAAUCUAUUUGGUUCCAUUUUAUUUUAAGUGAAAGAGGAGAAUUGAGGGAGUGAUCAGGCCUGACACUUAUGUAGAGUUGUGUGGGUGAUUUUUUUCUGAUUUGGUAACCAGGAAAAAAACAAUUCCUGAAGAUCCGGCCUGCAAAUAAACUUCCAAUCUUCCACUCCGAAAAAGGAAAUGCAAACUUUCUCCCAAGCAUUUUUGCUUCAUUUUUUAACCUUUCAAAGUUAGGUAAAUUUAUUGUUAAAAUGUCACUUCAAGAGAAAAAAAAAAAAUAACAUGAAUUUACAAAUCAUUU